CAGGCGGGCGGAGACGGGGCCGCGGCUUCAGGGCUUCCGCCCGGCCGGGGGCAGAGCCGCCUCGGUGCUCCCGCCCUUCCCGGAUGCCGACAUGGCGGAGUAUUCCUGCGUCAAAUCCACCAAGCUCGUCCUCAAAGGGUCGAAAGAGAAGAGCAAGAAGAAGCACAAGGAAAAGAAAAGGAAAAGGGAAGAGGAUGCGGCAGAGCAGCUCGAUAUUGUUGGAAACUGGUGGGCUGUCAGUAAUUUUGGUGAAAUUACAGGAACCAUAGCUAUAGAAAUGGAUAAAGGAGCUUACAUCCAUGCCCUCGACAAUGGCUUGUUUACACUUGGAGCACCACAUAAAGGUGAUGAAGGCCCUAGUCCUCCUGAGCAGUUUACAGCAGUAAAGUUAUCUGAUACAAGGAUUGCUCUCAAGUCUGGUUAUGGCAAAUACCUUGGUAUAAAUUCAGACGGGCUUGUUGUUGGACGUUCCGAUGCAAUAGGAUCAAGAGAGCAGUGGGAACCUGUCUUCCAAGAUAGGAAAAUGGCAUUACUAGCAGCAAACAGCCGUUUUAUUAGGUGUAAUGAAGAGGGGGACAUAGAAGCCAAAAGCAAAACUGCAGGGGAAGAAGAAAUGAUAAAGAUUCGUACUUGUGCUGAAAGAGAAGCUAAGAAGAAAGAUGAUGUUCCACAAGAAGACAAAGGAAAUGUUAAACAGUGUGAAAUCAAUUACGUGAAGAAGUUCCAAAGUUUUCAAGACAAAAAGCUUAAAAUAAGCAAAGAAGAUACAAAAGCCCUUAGAAAAGCCAGAAAAGAAGGCACUUUUCAUGAAAUGCUGCUUGACAGGAGAGCUAAAGUGAAGGCAGAUAGAUACUGCAAGUGACAUCCAGCUGGCCCAUUUUCUUCUGCAGCUUUGAUGGCAGCGUCAAAUUGAAAAAGAAUUUUUGAAAACUGACAGAAGAAACCUGGGCUAAAUGGAGGGCCUAAGGUGCUGUUAUGGACCCUGAAGGCAAGGCAUUGUGACAGGAACACAGCAGAAUAGCCAUAGUCAGAGAAGGUGACUGGUGCUGGAAGAUAACUAUUUCUUAAACUGAGAAUUUCUUUACCAAUGAAAGAACUAAACCAGAAUCACGAAGAGGCCUCAAAAAAGUACAGUGUAAUAUGACAAUGACGUAAUUUUGUCUUCAGAGUAUUUGGAAAGAGUUUUUAAUUUUCCUAAGUCAUUGUUUAUUUUCUACUGUUAAAAAUGUACUAAAGGUGGUAAAGCAUCUAAACAAAGAUAAUGAAGUCCCUAACAGCUGUCUGCUUCAUAUAUAAAAGAUGACCAAAAGGGGUUGCAGGUGUUCAGAAAGUAUCAGGACCAACUUAAUCAGACUCUUUCUUACCGUAGCCCAUAAUAGAUUAUUCAGAUAUCUGGAAGUAAACACAGGAUU